rnacentral:tRNA from 1 species
GCGCCCAUAGCUCAAUUGGAUAGAGCACCAGUCUACGGAACUGGGGGUUGCUGGUUCGACCCCAGCUGGGCGCA